rnacentral:rRNA from 1 species
UCGGACGCUGACGAGUGGCGAACGGGUGAGUAAUACAUCGGAACGUGCCCAGUCAUGGGGGAUAACUAGUCGAAAGAUUAGCUAAUACCGCAUACGACCUGAGGGUGAAAGUGGGGGACCGCAAGGCCUCAUGCUAUAGGAGCGGCCGAUGUCUGAUUAGCUAGUUGGUGAGGUAAAGGCUCACCAAGGCGACGAUCAGUAGCUGGUCUGAGAGGACGAUCAGCCACACUGGGACUGAGACACGGCCCAGACUCCUACGGGAGGCAGCAGUGGGGAAUUUUGGACAAUGGGCGAAAGCCUGAUCCAGCAAUGCCGCGUGUGUGAAGAAGGCCUUCGGGUUGUAAAGCACUUUUGUCCGGAAAGAAAUGGCUCUGGUUAAUACCUGGGGUCGAUGACGGUACCGGAAGAAUAAGGACCGGCUAACUACGUGCCAGCAGCCGCGGUAAUACGUAGGGUCCAAGCGUUAAUCGGAAUUACUGGGCGUAAAGCGUGCGCAGGCGGUUGUGCAAGACCGAUGUGAAAUCCCCGAGCUUAACUUGGGAAUUGCAUUGGUGACUGCACGGCUAGAGUGUGUCAGAGGGGGGUAGAAUUCCACGUGUAGCAGUGAAAUGCGUAGAGAUGUGGAGGAAUACCGAUGGCGAAGGCAGCCCCCUGGGAUAACACUGACGCUCAUGCACGAAAGCGUGGGGAGCAAACAGGAUUAGAUACCCUGGUAGUCCACGCCCUAAACGAUGCCAACUAGUUGUUGGGGAUUCAUUUCCUUAGUAACGUAGCUAACGCGUGAAGUUGACCGCCUGGGGAGUACGGUCGCAAGAUUAAAACUCAAAGGAAUUGACGGGGACCCGCACAAGCGGUGGAUGAUGUGGAUUAAUUCGAUGCAACGCGCAGAACCUUACCAGCUUUUGACAUGUCCGGUUUGAGGAACAGAGAUGUACCUCUUCAGUUCGGCUGGCCGGAACACAGGUGCUGCAUGGCUGUCGUCAGCUCGUGUCGCGAGAUGUUGGGUUAAGUCCCGCAACGAGCGCAACCCUUGUCUCUAGUUGCUACGAAAGGGCACUCUAGAGAGACUGCCGGUGACAAACCGGAGGAAGGUGGGGAUGACGUCAAGUCCUCAUGGCCCUUAUGGGUAGGGCUUCACACGUCAUACAAUGGUGCAUACAGAGGGUUGCCAAGCCGCGAGGUGGAGCUAAUCCCAGAAAAUGCAUCGUAGUCCGGAUCGUAGUCUGCAACUCGACUACGGAA